rnacentral:rRNA from 1 species
ACACGACUACAUUAGAUACCCGUGUAGUCCUAGCCGUAAACGAUACUCGCUAGGUGUCGGCCACGGUGCGACCGUUGUCGGUGCCGUAGGGAAGCCGUGAAGCGAGCCACCUGGGAAGUACGGCCGCAAGGCUGAAAACUUAAAGGAAUUGGCGGGGAGCACAACAACGGGUGGAGCUUGCGGUUUAAUUGGAUUCAACGCCGGAAAUCUUACCGGGACCGACAGCAACAUGAAGGCCAAGCUGAAGACUUUGCCGGAUUAGCUG